GACGAACGCUGGCGGCGUGCCUAAUACAUGCAAGUAGAACGCUGAAGGAGGAGCUUGCUCUUCUGGAUGAGUUGCGAACGGGUGAGUAACGCGUAGGUAACCUGCCUGGUAGCGGGGGAUAACUAUUGGAAACGAUAGCUAAUACCGCAUAACAGUAGAUGUUGCAUGACAUUUGCUUAAAAGGUGCAAUUGCACCACUACCAGAUGGACCUGCGUUGUAUUAGCUAGUUGGUGGGGUAACGGCUCACCAAGGCGACGAUACAUAGCCGACCUGAGAGGGUGAGCGGCCACACUGGGACCGAGACACGGCCCAGACUCCUACGGGAGGCAGCAGUAGGGAAUCUUCGGCAAUGGACGGAAGUCUGACCGGGCAACGCCGCGAGAGUGAAGAAGGUUUUCGGAUCGUAAAGCUUUGUUGUAAGAGAAGAACGAGUGUGAGAGUGGAAAGUUCACACUGUGACGGUAUCUUACCAGAAAGGGACGGCUAACUACGUG
rnacentral:rRNA from 1 species